UACGUAGGGGGCAAGCGUUAUCCGGAAUUACUGGGUGUAAAGGGAGCGUAGACGGUAAUGUAAGUCUGGAGUGAAAGGCGGGGGCCCAACCCCCGGACUGCUCUGGAAACUAUGUUACUAGAGUGCAGGAGAGGUAAGCGGAAUUCCUAGUGUAGCGGUGAAAUGCCUAGAUAUUAGGAGGAACACCAGUGGCGAAGGCGGCUUACUGGACUGUAACUGACGUUGAGGCUCGAAAGCGUGGGGAGCAAACAGG
rnacentral:rRNA from 1 species